rnacentral:rRNA from 1 species
GACGGAGGGUGCUAGCGUUGUUCGGAAUCACUGGGCGUAAAGGGCGCGUAGGCGGCCUUGCAAGUCGGUUGGUGAAAGCCCGGGGCUCAACCCCGGAGGUGCGGCCGAGACUGCAGGGCUGGAGGCCGGAAGAGGAGGGUGGAAUACCCAGUGUAGAGGUGAAAGUUCGUAGAUAUUGGGUGGAACACCGGUGGCGAAAGCGGCUCCUGUGGUCCGGA